AUUGAACGCUGGCGGCAGGCCUAACACAUGCAAGUCGAACGAGUGGCGGACGGGUGAGUAAUGUCUGGGAAACUGCCUGAUGGAGGGGGAUAACUACUGGAAACGGUAGCUAAUACCGCAUACCAUCGGAUGUGCCCAGAUGGGCUUAGCUAGGAGGUGGGGUAAAGACUCACCUAGGCGACGAUCCCUAGCUGGUCUGAGAGGAUGACCAGCCACACGGGAACUGAGACACGGUCCAGACGCCUACGGGAGGCAGCAGUGGGGAAUAUUGCACAAUGGGCGCAAGCCUGAUGCAGCCAUGCCGCGUGUAUGAAGAAGGCCUUCGGGUGGUAAAGUACUUUCAGCGGGGAGGCGGUACCCGCAGAAGAAACACCGGCUAACUCCGUGCCAGCAGCCGCGGUAAUAC
rnacentral:rRNA from 1 species